GACGAACGCUGGCGGCGCGCUUAACACAUGCAAGUCGAGCGAGAACCAGUCCUUCGGGACUGGGGAAAGCGGCGAACGGGUGAGUAACACGUGAGUAAUCCACCCUCGGUACCGGAAUAGCCCGGGGAAACCCGGAUUAAUGCCGGAUGGCCCAUUUCCCUUGCGGGGGAACUGGAAAAGAUAGCUUCGGCCUUCGACCGAGGACGAGCUCGCGGCGGAUUAGCUUGUUGGCGGGGUAACGGCCCACCAAGGCGACGAUCCGUAGCUGGUCUGGGAGGACGAUCAGCCACACUGGGACGGGGACACGGCCCAGACUCCUACGGGAGGCAGCAGUGGGGAAUCUUGCGCAAUGGGCGAAAGCCUGACGCAGCGACGCCGCGUGAGGGAAGAAGGCCUUCGGGUUGUAAACCUCUUUCAGGAGGGACGAAGCCACUCGGGUUCAUAGCCCAGAGGGUGACGGUACCUCCAGAAGAAGCCCCGGCUAACUACGUGCCAGCCGCCGCAGUAA
rnacentral:rRNA from 1 species